UUCACCAGAAGGCGGUUAAGUGACCCGGUUCACCUGGUCAGGCCUGCGCUGCCGCUCCUCCAGCGGUUCUGCUCCGGGCCAAGGGGGAGGCGCCGCCACGUACUGCGGCUCCCGAGGCGGCGAGGCCGGCCACCUCAGCGAGCGGCCCGCUGCGCCCUCCGCUGUCACCCGACCGUCGCCGCGGCCACCGACGACUCUGUUAGGACGAGGGCCUGGAACACGGGCCUGACGUGGGCCUGGGCCUGGAACACGGGCCUAGCCCCUGACGCCGAGCCGGUCCUUCCGGAAAGGCUUCGUCCCAGGAUCCCUCGGGCUAGGAGCGGCCGCGGCAGCUACUGCGGCUGCGCGGCCGCCGGAGCGCGUCAGUGGGCGGACGUGUGGGGGAUGGGGAGGAAGAGCGCGGGAGGCGCCCAGGGUGGGCGUUGGGGAGGGGUGGCUGUGCGGGGAGCCCGCAAGCUGGCCUCUCCGGGUCGCUCCGCACGCGGAAUUCAGUCGGCCGGAACAGGUGCACCUCGCUGUGGGAGAUGCUGCUUGCAGAGUCUACGUGGAUUCCCCGUGGAACUCCCGCUCUGCUCAAAGGCUACUCAACUUCCCCGAGACUCCGUUUUCUCAAAUGGAACAUGGAGUAAAAAUAUUUGUAGAGCUGAUAAACUGGCUUGA
rnacentral:lncRNA from 1 species